UUCGCCUUCAUGAAGUCGGAAUUGCUGUAAUGGCAGGUCAGCAUACUGCCGUGAAUACGUUCCCGGGCCCUUGUACACACCGCCCGUCACACCAUGAGAGUUGGAGAUACCCGAAGCCUAUGAGCUAACUUUUAGAGGCAGUAGUCGAAGGUAGAAUCAAUGAUUGGGGUGAAGUCGUAACAAGGUAAC
rnacentral:rRNA from 1 species